GCCCCGUAAUCGGAAUGAGUACACUUUAAAUCCUUUAACAAGGAUCCAUUGGAGGGCAAGUCUGGUGCCAGCAGCCGCGGUAAUUCCAGCUCCAAUAGCGUAUAUUAAAGUUGUUGCGGUUAAAAAGCUCGUAGUUGGUUCUGCGUGCCGCGCUGUCGGUUCGCCGCCUGUCGGUGUAACUGGCAUGUCGCGGCAUGUCCUGUCGGUGGUGAACGGAGUCCACAAUGCUACAUAGGCUUUAUAGCCGAUGUUAGCGUCGUGUGUACUUCCGUUGGCCGAUCUCUCCUACUUCGGUGCUCUUAAACGAGUGUCGAGGUAGGCCGACACGUUCACUUUGAACAAAUUAGAGUGCUUAAAGCAGGCUGAAAUAUCUGCCUGAAUAGUGGUGCAUGGAAUGAUAAAACAGGACCUCGGUUCUAUUUUGUUGGUUUUAGGAAUAUGAGGUAAUGAUCAAUGUGGACUGGCGGGGGCAUUCGUAUUGCGACGUUAGAGGUGAAAUUCUUGGAUCGUCGCAAGACGCACUAGAGCGAAAGCAUUUGCCAAGUAUGUCUUAAUUGAUCAAGAACGAAAGUUAGAGGUUCGAAGGCGAUCAGAUACCGCCCUAGUUCUAACCAUAAACGAUGCCAGCCAGCGAUCCGCCGAUGUUCCUUUAAUGACUCGGCGGGGAGCUUCCACCCGGGAAACCAAAGCUUUUGGGUUCCGGGGGAAGUAUGGUU
rnacentral:rRNA from 1 species